rnacentral:lncRNA from 1 species
CAGAGCCUGGGCUUGGCUUCCCUCUUCCCCUGCAAGGGCAGGGCAGGGAAGGGAGUGUGGCUGGUGCUCCUCCUCCCUGCAGCCCCUCCCAGUGGCCAGCAGGACCGGCCUCAUGUGCUCCCCCAGGGGAUCUCCCAGGGAAGGGUGUCACCUGCCUGCAAACUGGUGGCGCUGACUUCAGCUGUGCUUUCUCCUCCCUUUCCUCUCUAGAUCCCUCCAGGCCACUGGCUGCCACCUGCUCUCAUGUUUAGUUUGCCUGCCGUGAACACCUUCAGGCAACUUCCUGGAUAACUGCCUGCCCGUGGUGAGUCCCUGAAGCCUUCAGCUGCAGUGGGUCCCACCUGCUUCCUGGCCACAGUCAACAGGACCAGCGGACAGCCUCUUGCAGCAGCUGAGGCAGGAAUACCCCCUCCUGGGGGAAUUUUGAAUCAACAAUGGGAGCCUUUGCUUCUGCGUGGCCGACCCGCCCUGUACCCCGCACCGCCUGAGUCUGGGAGGCACAGGAGACUCAUAGCUCCUCUGAGAUAAGUGCUCGGCUCGGUGCUACUGCUUGAAUGAUGGUGGCCCCUCCAAAAUUCGUGUUGAAACAUAUCUUCAGUGCAACUGUAUUAAGAGGUGAGGCCUUUGGAAGGUGAUUACGUCAUGAAGGCUCCACCCUCAUGAAUGGGAUUAGCACCCUUAUAACAGGGAUCAAGGUUGAAGGGAGUUCCCUUCUGCCCUUCCAUUCCUUCCUCUGGAGGAUGCAGCAACCAGGCACCGUCAUGGAAGUAGAGAGAAACCCUCACCAGAAACUGAUGCUGCUAGCACAUUGAUCUUGGACUUCCCAGCCUCCAGAACCACGAGAAAUAAAUGUCUAGUAUUUCUAAACU